UGUAAUAUAAUACUUAGCUACCUACGUUUCGCUACUUCAUACUGAACUGAACCGGAGCCUGACAAUGCACCACACGACCUUUUUCUGAUUAUGUAAAACGCCAUGAAUAGAAUAGAAUUGAUCACAUAUCACAAGGAAGGAGGAGUGAUAUCGCCAAGAAGAAAUUACUCAAGACGCAAAUAGUAGUUCACGACACGACAAGUUCAUCAGUAUCAUGGAAUUAUCGACAUUGGACUUGAAAUCUCAGUUGAGGUUCCGGUAUUAGAUUGAGGACAGCAGUCAAGUAUCGAUGAACACUGAUUUGAAGAUGCUUGACGUUCUACAGAGGAAGCAAGAAAAUAAUAAUUAGAGAUAUUUACAGAUUAAAACGUAGUAGUUAUGCACUUUUAUUCAAAUUAAUAUUGUUUACUGAUCAGUAAUAAUACAAUAACCCAAGACUUGUAGCAGCUUAUGCUGAACCUCAUCAUGGCUCUUUUGUUUUUUUUUUAUUUAUUUUUCAUUUUCUAAUAUUAAUUUAGUGAACAUAAAAUGCCAGCUACUCGGAUAUGUAGGUGACUUGGGACUGAUUUUUUAAUCGUUG